rnacentral:rRNA from 1 species
GCGGUGGAGCAUGUGGUUUAAUUCGAAGCAACGCGAAGAACCUUACCAGGUCUUGACAUCCCUGACAACCCGAGAGAUCGGGCGUUCCCCUUCGGGGGACAGGGUGACAGGUGGUGCAUGGUUGUCGUCAGCUCGUGUCGUGAGAUGUUGGGUUAAGUCCCGCAACGAGCGCAACCCUCGACCUUAGUUGCCAGCAUUCAGUUGGGCACUCUAAGGUGACUGCCGGCUAAAAGUCGGAGGAAGGUGGGGAUGACGUCAAAUCAUCAUGCCCCUUAUGACCUGGGCUACACACGUGCUACAAUGGGCGGUACAAAGGGUCGCGAACCCGCGAGGGGGAGCCAAUCCCAAAAAGCCGCUCUCAGUUCGGAUUGCAGGCUGCAACUCGCCUGCAUGAAGCCGGAAUCGCUAGUAAUCGCGGAUCAGCAUGCCGCGGUGAAUACGUUCCCGGGCCUU